CGUAGUUAUAUAACAAAACUGCCAACUGAGAUUACUAAACUCAAGAGUCUACAUAGUCUCAGUUGUACCAAAAGCAGUUGGUACAAAUACUUUAACCUGAAUGAACGCAAGGAAUGCUUGUUGAACACAUUUUGUCGGCCCACGCUUUUCACACCUUUGGAAGAUCCUAGUGACCAUACCGUUGCCGAGCUAUACAUGGCCUGGUCUAGCUGUUGGUCAGAGUCUAAUGGUGUGAGGGUGCCAAAAGGAAUCGGCAAACUAAAAGAGCUGCAAAUACUAGAGGUUGUAGACAUCAGCCGAACUAGUUGCAAAGCAAUUAAAGAGCUAGGUGAGCUUGUGCAGCUGAGAAAACUGAGUGUGGUAACAAAAGGGGCCGCCAAGCAGAAAUGCAAGGUACUCUGUGAUGUCAUUCAGAAGCUCACUUGCCUCCACUCUCUUGAAGUGGAUGGUUCACUCGAGUGGCUGCAUGUUUUUUCCUCUCCUCCUCCCAUGUUGAGGAGUCUGAAGUUGGAUGGAUCCCUUGGAGAGGUUCCUGGCUGGGUUGGCAAUCUGAUACAUUUGGUCAAGCUUUAUUUAGGGGGCAGCGCAAUAAAGGAAGAAUGUAAAAUUUAUGGAAAUAAUAGGGCGACUUUCCAACCUCAUGGAGCUUCGUCUUGUAUACAGAUCUUAUAUUGGGGAGAAGUUAGCGUUCAAAACAGGGGCAUUCCCAAAUCCAAAGAAAUUUUACCUUAAGUGUCUGUGGCAACUGAGCGAGGUGGAAUUCGAGGAGGACACCUCGCCCCAGCUGGCAAAGAUAGAAAUCAAUUUCUGAAGGUUGGAAUCAGGGAUUAAUAGUAUCGAGCACCUUCCAAGCCUCAAGGAGAUUUGGCUUAAUUGGGAUGGUAAAGUGGCCAGGCUUGGUAUGUUGCAACGUGAAGUGGACACACACCCCAACCAUCCUAUGCUGCGACUGCAGAAGGAACGGAGUUACCACGACCUGGGUGACAUUGUCGACGGAUGCGUUAUUUUUCAGGCCACUACACUCAUCCGUAUGUGGUCGCUACUGACUCCGACGGAUGCCAGAGAGCAUAUGGUUACAGGGUCUAUCCGGUGGGAGACGGUAGCAUGGGCUAUCUUCAACCGGUUUGGAUGGCGGUCAUGUAAUAGGAUAGGUGUUUAAUUUCCUAUCUAUUUUUAUUCCACCGGUUGUGGCUAUCCUCUUUCAUGCUCUUAUGGCUCUUUGUGAGCCUUUUUACUUUUUUUGAGACAUGGAGACUUUGUUGAACUAUUUUCUUUUUAAUAAAAUGGCCGGAUGCAUCGUUCUAAUGCAGAGGCCGGGGGAUAACCUCCUUUUUGAAAAAAAUAAUAUGAAAUUUGGUCAAAGUCAAACUUUGUCAACUUGGACUAAGUUUAUAGGAAAAAAUAUCAAGAUUCACAAUAAUAAAUUAAUAUUAUUAGAUGCAUCAUGAAAUUAAUUUUCAUAUCAUAUAGCUUUAGUAUUGUAGAUAUUGAUAUUUUUUUCUAUAAAGGUAGUCAAACUUUACAAAGUUGGAUUUUGACCAAAUUUUAUAUACAGACUAAAAAGAACGAAGGAAGUACCUACAGGUAGAAUUUCCGUCUGCUUAUUUCCUGCCAUGUGAUCCACUGAUAGUUCCGUUUGGGUAUCUGAUGAUGUUUGUCUCCCUCCAAUACUACGGAUGAUAUAUACAGCCCUUGGUUUCCCUUCCCGUUGAUUCUUCUGAAUAUCUGAUCGCUACCGUCGUCUUCUGAUUCCAUGUUGGUACAGCUCAAACCUCCUUUGAUUUUGUUAGAUUUCAUCUGAUUUCUGCUGAUAGUUGUCAGAUUUUCUUUCGUACACACCAACUGUUUAUCUCAACGUCUGCAAAAGAUUAUGUCUGUGCUACUGAAUUUAAAAUAAAUUGAACACAAUUAUCUUCUAGAUGCAUAUUUGGUUGUCAAAAACUCUGCUUCAAUGCAAUGUCGUUACUUCCAUUGCUAUUUAUCUGGAGGACAUAUGAAGCUUAUAUGUUAUAGUUCCCUGACUGCAGCCUGCAGGUGGCAGCUUUUUAUGUCCGUGGUCUCUACAUGGAUUUUUUUUCUUCGAAAGCUAAUCCACUUUGUAACUGCGAUGAAGAUCAUAUUGUUUGUUUGUUUGUAAAAAGAUAGAUAAACAAAAAUCUUUCAGUGUUCACUCUUCAGAGUAAAAAUAAUAGAAAUCUUAAUAUCUAGGAGAAACCAGAGCAACUCUGCUAGAUGGGAAGUGAGCAGGGAGUUUCGCAGCCAUCCUGUGCUCCCAUGGGGUACUGAAUAAGUUCAAGCGAAGUUGGAAGGCAUGGGAUUUCUUUCUGAUCCAGAAGGGAGUUCACUUGCUCAGCACUCGACAGUUCGCCUCGGAAGCAAGAUAGUUGGUCAGUUAAGCAAGUAACAACUCCUUUUCUUUCUUUGUAGUAUUAUGUUACAUUGUUCAGCGUGAUUUCUCUUUUUUUUUGGCGUGGACUUAUAACAGAUUUGCUGAUAAAUUAAACUCAUGCAUGCUCUGUAUAUGUGUUCAACGUCCAAGUUUGGUGCUGGUGGACUCUAUGCCGCAAUGUGAAGCUACGGUACAAUAUGAUGUUCCUACGCUGCCAGUGUCAGAGGAGAAGUUCGUUCCAUGCUGACAGGUUAGCUGCUAAUGUCUCUUUUGUUCAUGCAGAAUAGGUAGUAACUACACACGCAUUUCAAUUCAUCUCUCAUUUUGUUGUCCCUUACAGCGAAGAUGACAUUGGUUGCAGCCUGCAGGUGAAUGUUAUUUCUUUAUAUCCAUGAGUUUCUGCUUUGAUUUUGCUUUCAGCUUUUUAUUUAUUCUGACUGUACAAAAUAAAAACAUCCCACUUUGUUUUUGAAAACUAAACCACGUCGUCUCAAAACAGAAGCAGUUCUUUAUCAUAUCAGUUUUGUGUCUUAGACUCUCAACAUCCAUUGCCAAUUGGACUCUUGUGUUCUAUGAUUUGAAGCACACGUUUAUAGGAAAUUAGAAUUUCGCAAAUCUGGGACAAGCUGGAGCGUGGCAUGAUCAAACUCAUGAUGCAAUUAAUGUGACUUAUGGCGGCACACUACCUGAUUUUCUGCCAAUGUUGUAUAAUAGCAGUGAGACAACUGGAGGAAGGUAUAACCCAAUGGAAGUAAUAGAGUUGUGCAUCGUCUAACCUUCUGUUCAUUCUUCGUAUCUGGGUAAAUGCAAAGCAGAAGUUAGUGUUCAUAAUGUGUAGUAUUUCAAAAUGUCGGGAGUCUCGAUAUUUAGGAGGAGCUGGAGCAACUCUGACAAAUGAGAUUUGAGUGUGGUGCACACUUCUGAAACUGAUGAAAAUAAUGUUCUGAAGUGUGGACUGUGAUCACCUGAUGACAGCUGGGGAGAAGACGUGGAAAAUGCAAUGGACUAGACCACACGAGAUGCUGCUACCAACGAAGAUGCAUACGUGCACUGUUAUGCUGCAACUCGACCUCGCAUUGAGCUCUCCAAGUUCUUGCUGGCUGGUGGUCUCUGAUAUGGUGCAAGGUGAAGCUGACAGGGAUCUCGACGUUUCGCUGCUGCUGCAUCAUUCUUGGGGCUUCAGUGUAACGGAGGGGAUUAGACCAGAUGAAGAACCGUUUCUUGGGGAACUCCAUGGAAUGGAAUAGAUGAUCAACCUGAUGACAAGACCUGAAAUUUUGAAUACAGAGUUACUUUGUUUUCUAGUACUCUGUUUUUCUAGAGAUGGUUUAUUGCUCUCCAUUUGUUGCUGCCGCUAUGUUUGUGCUUGUUUGUAAAAAGAGAAUGAUGAUUGCAUCUGUUGUUAUCCAUUUGCUGCAAAUUCAUGCUGAUGAAAGAAUACACCUGCUGCCCUUCUAUGUAUGCUAUUAACUCUGCAGUUUU